ACAGAGAUGGCGGGCCUCCGGGCCCCCGUCCCCAACCCUUUGUCGACCAAAAACCUUUUUGCCUCGGGGGCGGAACGUCCGCGUUGGCCCCCGGUGGACCAGCAAAACUCUGUCUCUGUACGUCGGAGCCUUAAUGAAAAUUAAUCA
rnacentral:misc_RNA from 1 species